GCUGUGGGCAUCUGGCACUGCGGUUCCUGCAUGAAGACAGUAGCUGGUGGAGCCUGGACCUACAGUACCACCUCUGCUGUCACAGUAAAGUCUGCC
ensembl:miRNA